rnacentral:rRNA from 1 species
UACAUAGGGUGCAAGCGUUGUCCGGAAUUAUUGGGCGUAAAGGGCUCGUAGGCGGUCUGUCGCGUCGGCUGUGAAAACUCGGGGCUCAACCCCGAGCCUGCAGUCGAUACGGGCAGACUAGAGUCCGGCAGGGGAGACUGGAAUUCCUGGUGUAGCGGUGAAAUGCGCAGAUAUCAGGAGGAACACCGGUGGCGAAGGCGGGUCUCUGGGCCGGAACUGACGCUGAGGAGCGAAAGCGUGGGGAGCGAACAGG